UGAAACCGUGUGCUUACAAGUAGUCAGAGCCCGUUAAUGGGUGAUGGCGUGCCUUUUGUAGAAUGAACCGGCGAGUUACGAUCUGAUGCAAGGUUAAGCAGAAAAUGUGGAGCCGUAGCGAAAGCGAGUCUGAAUAGGGCGAAUGAGUAUUUGGUCGUAGACCCGAAACCAGGUGAUCUACCCUUGGUCAGGUUGAAGUUCAGGUAACACUGAAUGGAGGACCGAACCGACUUACGUUGAAAAGUGAGCGGAUGAACUGAGGGUAGCGGAGAAAUUCCAAUCGAACUUGGAGAUAGCUGGUUCUCUCCGAAAUAGCUUUAGGGCUAGCCUCAAGUGAUGAUUAUUGGAGGUAGAGCACUGUUUGGACGAGGGGCCCCUCUCGGGUUACCGAAUUCAGACAAACUCCGAAUGCCAAAUAAUUUAACUUGGGAGUCAGAAUGUGGGUGAUAAGGUCCAUAUUCGAAAGGGAAACAGCCCAGACCACCAGCUAAGGUCCCAAAAUAUAUGUUAAGUGGAAAAGGAUGUGGCGUUGCCCAGACAACUAGGAUGUUGGCUUAGAAGCAGCCAUCAUUUAAAGAGUGCGUAAUAGCUCACUAGUCGAGUGACACUGCGCCGAAAAUGUACCGGGGCUAAACAUAUUACCGAAGCUGUGGAUUGUCCUUUGGACAAUGGUAGGAGAGCGUUCUAAGGGCGUUGAAGCAUGAUCGCAAGGACAUGUGGAGCGCUUAGAAGUGAGAAUGCCGGUGUGAGUAGCGAAAGACGGGUGAGAAUCCCGUCCACCGAUUGACUAAGGUUUCCAGAGGAAGGCUCGUCCGCUCUGGGUUAGUCGGGUCCUAAGCUGAGGCCGACAGGCGUAGGCGAUGGAUAACAGGUUGAUAUUCCUGUACCACCAUUAUUCGUUUUAAGCGAUGGGGGGACGCAGUAGGAUAGGCGAAGCGUGCUGUUGGAGUGCACGUCCAAGCAGUGAGAUUGAGUGUUAGGCAAAUCCGGCACUCUUAAGAUUGAGCUGUGAUGGGGAGAGGAACUUG
rnacentral:rRNA from 1 species